rnacentral:misc_RNA from 1 species
AACGCACCUUGCACCCUUUGGUAUUCCGAAGGGUACACCCGUUUGAGUGUCAUUGUAAUCUCACUCCUUCAACUUUGUUGUUGUUGGAUGUGGACUUGGACUCUGUUGUGUUAUAACAACUGGUCUUAAAUGAAUGAGUGCACCCUGCUGUUGCAGCGUCUUCAGUGUGAUAAGCAUCUUCACUGGAACAAAGUCCCUUGGGACACGCAGGCAUUGCAGGCUCUGUGCUGGCAAACUGUCUCUGGACAAUCUUUGACAAUUUGACCUCAAAUCGGGUGGGACUACCCGCUGAACUUAA